UACAGAGGUCUCAAGCGUUGUUCGGAUUCAUUGGGCGUAAAGGGUGCGUAGGUGGCGCGCUAAGUCAGGUGUGAAAUUUCGGAGCUUAACUCCGAAACUGCAUUUGAUACUGGCGUGCUUGAGGAUUGGAGAGGAGACUGGAGUUCAUGGUGUAGCAGUGAAAUGCGUAGAGAUCAUGAGGAAGACCAGUGGCGAAGGCGGGUCUCUGGACAGUUCCUGACACUGAGGCACGAAGGCCAGGGGAGCAAACGGG
rnacentral:rRNA from 1 species